CCAGACUCCUACGGGAGGCAGCAGUGGGGAAUAUUGCACAAUGGGGGGAACCCUGAUGCAGCGACGCCGCGUGGGUGAAGGAGUACUUCGGUACGUAAAGCCCUAUCAGCAGGAAAGAAAAUGACGGUACCUGACUAAGAAGCCCCGGCUAACUACGUGCCAGCAGCCGCGGUAAUACGUAGGGGGCAAGCGUUAUCCGGAUUUACUGGGUGUAAAGGGAGCGUAGACGGACUUGCAAGUCUGAUGUGAAAAUCCGGGGCCCAACCCCGGAACUGCAUUGGAAACUGUGUUGCUGGAGUGCUGGAGAGGCAAGCGGAAUUUCUAGUGUAGCGGUGAAAUGCGUAGAUAUUAGGAAGAACACCAGUGGCGAAGGCGGCUUGCUGGACAGUAACUGACGUUGAGGCUCGAAAGCGUGGGGAGCAAACAGGAUUAGAUACCCUGGUACCG
rnacentral:rRNA from 1 species